rnacentral:rRNA from 1 species
CACUUCUAAGGAAGGCAGCAGGCGCGCAAAUUACCCAAUCCUGACUCAGGGAGGUAGUGACAAGAAAUAACAAUAAACCGGCUUAUGCCGGUUUAAUUGGAAUGAGUACAAUUUAAACAUCUUAACGAGGAACAAUUGGAGGGCAAGUCUGGUGCCAGCAGCCGCGGUAAUUCCAGCUCCAAUAGCGUAUACUAAAGUUGUUGCAGUUAAAAAGCUCGUAGUUGGAUUUCUGUGGGGACGGAGCGGCCGGCCGCACAUCGCGGUUCGAGCUAGCGCUUUCCCUACAUCCUGCCGCGAACCGUGCUACCAUUAGUUUGGUGGCGCCGGGGAUCGGCUCGAUUACUUUGAGAAAAAUAGAGUGUUCAAAGCAGGCCACAUGCCUUGAAUAAGUUAGCAUGGAAUAAUAACUAAGGACUUCGGUUCUAUUUUGUUGGUGUUCGGGACUGAAGUAAUGAUUGAUAGGGACAGUUGGGGCGGUCUGUAUUCCAAAGCGAGAGGUGAAAUUCUUAGACCUUCGGAAGACAAACAGCUGCGAAAGCGUUCCGCAAGGAUGUUCCCUUUGAUCAAGAACGAAAGUUGGGGGAUCGAAGACGAUCAGAUACCGUCGUAGUCUCAACUAUAAACUAUACCAGCUAGGGAUCGGCCAACGUUAUUUUAUACCGACUUGGUCGGCACCUUAUGAGAAAUCAAAGCAUCUGGGUUCCGGGGGGAGUAUGGUCGCAAGGCUGAAACUUAAAGGAAUUGACGGAAGGGCACCACCAGCCGUGGAGCCUGUGGCUUAAUUUGACUCAACACGGGAAAACUUACCAGGUCCAGACAUAGUAAGGAUUGACAGAUUGAUAGCUCUUUCUUGAUUCUGUGGGUGGUGGUGCAUGGCCGUUCUUAGUUGGUGGAGUGAUUUGUCUGGUUGAUUCCGUUAACGAACGAGUCCCCAGCCUGCUAAAUAGCGCGUGUGAGCUUUGCUCGCAGCGAGCUUCUUAGAGGGACUAUGAUGCGCGAUAGCACAUGGAAGUUUGGGGCAAUAACAGGUCUGUGAUGCCCUUAGAUGUUCUGGGCCGCACACGGGCUACACUGGCGCCUGCAACGAGCAUAUCAGCUGGCCCGAGAGGGUCUUGGCUAAUCUUUUGAACCGGCGCCGUGCUUGGGAUUGACCUUUGCAAUUGUUGGUCAUGCAACGAGGAAUGCCUUGUAAACGCGAGUCAUCAGCUCGCAUUGAAUACGUCCCUGCCCUUUGUACACACCGCCCGUCGCUCCUACCGAUGAAUGUUCCGAUGAAAUUUUCGGAGAGCACCUGUGAACUUGGCUCUGCCUUGCGAACGGGAGGCUCAAAGUCACUUAAAUCUGAACAUUUCGAGG